rnacentral:tRNA from 1 species
GCGGGAAUAGCUCAGUUGGUAGAGCGUCAGCCUUCCAAGCUGAAGGUCGCGGGUUCGAGCCUCGUUUCCCGCUCAA